rnacentral:rRNA from 1 species
CCAGCUCCAAUAGCGUAUAUUUAAGUUGUUGCAGUUAAAAAGCUCGUAGUUGGAUUUCGGGUGGGAUGGUGCGGUCCGUCUCUGAUGUGUACUGUUCCGUCUCACCUUCCUGCCGGGGACGGGCUCCUGGGCUUCACUGUCUGGGACUCGGAGUCGGCGAGGUUACUUUGAGUAAAUUAGAGUGUUCAAAGCAGGCCUACGCUCUGAAUACAUUAGCAUGGAAUGACACGAUAGGACUCUGGCUUAUCUGUUGGUCUGUGGGACCGGAGUAAUGAUUAAGAGGGGUAGUCGGGGGCAUUCGUAUUCCGUUGUCAGAGGUGAAAUUCUUGGAUUUACGGAAGACGAACAUCUGCGAAAGCAUUUGCCAAGGAUACUUUCA